AAAACAAUCAACACCAUGAACACAUCAUUAACACAACACUACCAUUACUUUCCAUCACUUUUCUUCUCCAUUUAACAUACUUCCUUCUCAUUCAUCAACAAACAUGAAAAACAUCUUAUAUAUGCAAUAUAAGAAAAUUCACUGUCCUAGAAAAUACCAAUUUGUCCCCCUGCUUCCAUGUUGUGCCAAGUGGGCAUCUUAAUUGCAAAGCUUCCCACGUCUGCAUUUUUCUAAACCUUUCAAAUCUAACUUUCUCCUACCCACACUCUUUUUGUGAGUCACUUUAUUUCUCUAAUUCUCUCUCUUGCACAACAUCUUUCUUCUUCUUCUUCCUUCAACCGCAAAUCUUCUUCUUCUUCUUCUUCUUCUUCUUCUUCUUCUUCUUCUUCCUCUUCUUCUUGAAACCAAAUCGAAACAACCACUAAUCUGCGACAUCAAUUUAUGAUUUCAAAAAUAAAUCCAGAUCUUCCUCUUCUUCUUUCUUCUACAAAUCUUUGUUUAUUUUGUAUGUUUUUAUUAACUAACUCAAAUUUUCAUUUUUCCGUUUUUCAGUUGUUAUUCAUCACUCAUCACUAAGAUCUGGAAAUUAAAGAGGAGUAAAACAUGCUGGAAAUAAUAAAGAUGAAGAGACGGUUAACCGCUUCUACUCGAAGAAAUUGUAGACCAGAAUGCAAAAACAAGUAACUAAGUGAUGCACUCUAUGAUAGAGAAACAAUAUUUGAUUUUGAAUUUAGUGUCCAAUACCAUUUUCAUGAAGACAUGUUAAUGUACUUUCUAAGUUUCUUUACGAUAUUUUAGAUAA